GAAGCUCCAAGAAUGUUGAGAAAGGAUGUCAAAGCUGAACCCCCCACCUCUGCGUGCGGAGAAAGCCAUUAUGCACAGACAUAUGGAAGUAGACGAUGAAGCGUGACUAAGGGAAGUGGAAUGUUCCAGCUCUGCAGCUGAGUGAAGGAGGCCUCCUGGUCGUGUGAAUGAUGGGACCAAUACUUUUGACCUCACUGUCCAUUGGCUGACGCUGUAAACACAGCCUCCUCAGGGAGCAUCUCAAUUCAAAGAAAGACCAGGAGAGGCAGGCCGCUUGCCGUGAAUAGUCGGAAAGGAUCUAUAAGUUCAAAAGCAACUGGAAUUCCUAGAAGAGAUUGAAUGUUAUAAGGAUAAACGGGUAUGCCACACUCCAAGGGUUUGGGAAUUCAUGAGGAGAAUUCCACCCAGCUAAAUGGGAAAAGUUUUCCAUUAUUUUAAAUGAACUUAAGGUGAGUGGUAAAGGUUCUUUUUGACUGUAUACUGAUACUACUCCUAAAGACCUUAUAUCAAUUAUCAUUAUAUAACUACUUUGAGAAUUCUAUUACAAUGUUUAUGGUUCUCUAAAGGUUUAUUUAUUUUUAUUUUGUGUGUGUUUUAUUUUACUUUUAUGUG